rnacentral:rRNA from 1 species
AACAGCUCAAAUUUGAAAUCUGGCCCUUCCGGGGUCCGAGUUGUAAUUUGUAGAGAGUGCUUCGGGGGAGAGUGCGGUCUAAGUCCAUUGGAACAUGGUGUCAUAGAGGGUGAGAAUCCCGUACGUGACCGCGGAUCGAACCCGUGUGAAGCCUCUUCGACGAGUCGAGUUGUUUGGGAAUGCAGCUCAAAAUGGGUGGUAAAUUUCAUCUAAAGCUAAAUACUGGCUGGAGACCGAUAGCGCACAAGUAGAGUGAUCGAAAGAUGAAAAGCACUUUGGAAAGAGAGUUAAACAGUACGUGAAAUUGUUGAAAGGGAAGCGCUGGCAACCAGACCUGCCCGUAGGCGAUCAACCGCUGUUCUCAGCGGUGCACUCGUUCUGCGAUCAGGCCAGCAUCGGUUUCGGCGGUCGGAUAAAGGCCUUGGGAAUGUAGCUUCCUUUCGGGGGAGUCUUAUAGCCCUCGGUGCAAUGCGGCCAGCCGGGACCGAGGACCGCGCUUCGGCAUGGAUGCUGGCGUAAUGGUUGUCAGCGACC